GCAGUCGGCCGCCUCCCUCCGCGCGCUGGACGCUCCGCCGCCGCCCGCCCGCCGGCCGCACCGCAGGAGCCCCUGCCUCAAGACCAGCUCAACACCAGCUGUGGUCGUGUUUUGGAGAUUCGGGACCCUAUUUCCAAAGGAGAGUUGCAGGGGACAAGUUUCUGUUUGUUAUUUUCAAAACCAAGCAAAGGAAACAGCAGCCAAUUAAAAUGACAUAUUUUUAUUCGCCUCGGCACGUUGUCAGUGAUUUGCCCCCGGGGAUCCACAAUUUUCCCAAGCCUGUUAACGGGAGACGAUGAAUGAGGGCCUCGUGUAAUUUAAUUUUCCUGUCACACUAAAUAGAGUUACAUUGUCAACCUUAGAUCUACUCUUACUGAUAGGAUCGCCUUGUUUUGCCAUUUGCACCAUAAAGACCCCCAAAAGGGACACUAUAUUGUGACCUCUACUCUUGAAUUAUUCAAGAACUUAAUGACAUUUUCCAUUUUAAAAAGGGAACUAAUUGCCAUUGAUGUAAAGCAUGUGACCUUCUCUGGGUGCCCAGUAUGAGAAUGUUGCCAUCUGUAUGUGGCCAGAGCUGAGCUUCGGAACUGCAGGGCUCGGGCCAACAUAGGAGAAAGAUGUGAACAGAAGUGGGUGCCAAAGGGACCCCGCCAUCAAGCACAUUGUUUAAUUUCACCCCUUGCCCUGACCUACAAUUCCACAAAAAGACCUCUAAUCUGACCUGAAAUCUGUUCAAAAUCUCACAUCAACGCAGGCUGUUUUUUGAAAUGUGAUUUUUUUUUAAGGUACGUUGAAAAUUUUUGAAAUCCAGCAUCCUUUUGUUAAUGUGCAAUUUAUUUAUGUGAUAUCAAGCAAAAUAUGCAGCCAUCUCCUCCCCUCUUUUUUGGGGGUGGGAGCUUUUAAUAAUGUUUUUACUACUUUCUUACUCUAAAGAAAAUAAAAACUCAGAACUGUAAAGAAACUGCACCUUGGUGUUUGCUGUUUGAAUUGGUCUGGUUGAGUUUCCAGAAGAGCCAGCAUUGAAAUUCUACAGUAUCAGAAUUCUCACUCUUCAAAUUACUUGAAAACGGAGGCUUAUCUUUCCUCAAAGUAAAAGAAUUCCGUGUAUUCCCUGCUGGUCCGUACUCCUUCCCCAGAGGAAAGCAAAAUGAGAGAAAAUGGGCUUGUAGCGAGGUUCUUUGGCUUCGUAAAUUCACAGAUCGGUGUCCGUAGAUGAUCUGAUGCUUUUCCUGAUUUAACCGAGUAAGUCUCCUGCCAACAUCAACCAUUUAAAAAGUCUGAGUGAAUUGGGAAGUAAGACACUGGGCUACAGAUAUUUCUUUGGAAAUUUUAAGUGAUGUUUGAGACAAGGAACCUUCAUUUCUGCAUCGAGUGGGCAGUUGCUUUACAAAUGACACCGAAUACACACAUCCUGGCUUCCCUGAGACUAAAUAUUCUCUGUGGUAGCCUGUGAAUCCACAUCUUUCUCUCCUUGGAUCUCUGGAAAAGGCUAUCAAGUGCAUUUACACAUCUGACGUGGUGCAAAGGAGGCCCACGUUAUAUGUCAACACACUGGACACAAUCGCUCCCGGUACAGCCUGGACUCAGAAUGCCCGGGCCUCCAUCUGUUUGAAAGGAAUUUGCCAUGAAGCUGUUGUUGUCCAAAUCAAAUAACAGAGUGAUUGUUUUCAUAUUUCUUUAAAAGGAACCGGUUUCCCUCCUUGGUCCUAUGCUCUGUUUGUGCACCGCAACAUGGCAGAAAAAAAAUGAAUAAGGAUAUGUAGUUCUUAUUGCCAAAUAAUAAGGAUGUACAUAAAAAAAAUACAUAUGAGAACAUUUUCGAGUCAAGAAAAGUUGGAACAGGUGUGAAGUCGUGCUCAGCAGCCAGGAAACCCUCAGGUGAAGCCACAUCCUGCCCAAGCAUCUCGGCAGACGCACAAUGUACAUCUCCCCUCGUUGCUGAUAUUGAUUUUAAUCACAAAGGUCACUGACUUCUGCAAAACUCUUAAAAAGGAACAGCCUCUGAAGGUAAUUUCCUAGAAUCAGUGUCUGAGAAUGGAACACGGAGUGUGAAUGUUUUCUUGGUGGAAGGAAGCCAGGCAGACACAUCCUAGCACAGAAACUGUGCUUUUGUGCAGCUGGAUUAUUGGGCAUGACUGAGUCUCCACUCCAGCGCGAAAGGCAGCAGGGCCAGGACACAUGCACAGUUAAUGUCCACUGGAGCUGGGGUCUCAGAUGUCAGGGGACACCCUCCAUCCGGCACUAAGCUUUGGGAAACAGAAGUCCAGACCCUGUGUUUAUUCUCCAUCAAUCGGGCAAUUCCUGGAGAAGGAGGCUGGCUGGAGGGCAUCCACGUAGAUGGGGUCCCAGUCUCUCUCCUCUCUGAUAUUUGUACAUCCUGCUUGGGGAAAGAUAUGGGGGGAUUGUUACCCUACUUCCAGGGACACUGUUUGGAGUGGGGUGGCUGGAAUAUAGCCUCAGUGUCAGAAAAGGUCUGGAUAAGACUAAAUGUAAGUGUACCUUGUAUAAUCACAAAAUUGCCUAUUGUAUCUCCUUGACUCUAAGAGGCUGGCCUCAGAGUUCCUGUCAUGGCUCAGUGGUUAGCAAAUCUGACUAGGAACCAUGAGGUUGUGGGUUCGAUCCCUGGCCUUGCUCAGCGGGUUAAGGAUCCAGCAUUGCUGUGGGCUGUGGUGUGUGGCUCAGAUCCCAUGUUGCUGUGGUGGGAUCCCUAGCCUGGGAACCUCCAUAUGCCAUGGGUGCAGCCCUAGAAAAG
rnacentral:lncRNA from 1 species